rnacentral:rRNA from 1 species
UACAGAGGUCUCAAGCGUUGUUCGGAUUCAUUGGGCGUAAAGGGUGCGUAGGCGGCGCGGUAAGUCGGGUGUGAAAUCUCGGAGCUUAACUCCGAAACUGCAUUCGAUACUGCGGUGCUUGAGGACUGGAGAGGAGACUGGAAUUUACGGUGUAGCGGUGAAAUGCGUAGAUAUCGUAAGGAAGACCAGUGGCGAAGGCGGGUCUCUGGACAGUUCCUGACGCUGAGGCACGAAGGUCAGGGAGCAAACGGG